rnacentral:rRNA from 1 species
CACUCCUGCGGGAGGCAGCAGUGGGGAAUAUUGCACAAUGGGCGCAAGCCUGAUGCAGCCAUGCCGCGUGUAUGAAGAAGGCCUUCGGGUUGUAAAGUACUUUCAGCGGGGAGGAAGGCGAUAAGGUUAAUAACCUUGUUGAUUGACGUUACCCGCAGAAGAAGCACCGGCUAACUCCGUGCCAGCAGCCGCGGUAAUACGGAGGGUGCAAGCGUUAAUCGGAAUUACUGGGCGUAAAGCGCACGCAGGCGGUCUGUCAAGUCGGAUGUGAAAUCCCCGGGCUCAACCUGGGAACUGCAUUCGAAACUGGCAGGCUAGAGUCUUGUAGAGGGGGGUAGAAUUCCAGGUGUAGCGGUGAAAUGCGUAGAGAUCUGGAGGAAUACCGGUGGCGAAGGCGGCCCCCUGGACAAAGACUGACGCUCAGGUGCGAAAGCGUGGGGAGCAAACAGGAUUAGAAACCCUAGUAGUCCCAUGAU